rnacentral:rRNA from 1 species
CUUGGUCAUUUAGAGGAAGUAAAAGUCGUAACAAGGUUUCCGUAGGUGAACCUGCGGAAGGAUCAUUAAAGAAUCGCCCCGUUUUUUAUAGAUGGGUUCUAUUCCCAAACCGUGUAUACAUUACCUUUGUUGCUUUGGCAGGCCGCCUCCGGGCGUCGGCUUCGGCUGAUUAGUGCCUGCCAGAGGACCCAAACUCGUUUGUUUAGUGAUGUCUGAGUACUAUAUAAUAGUUAAAACUUUCAACAACGGAUCUCUUGGUUCUGGCAUCGAUGAAGAACGCAGCGAAAUGCGAUAAGUAAUGUGAAUUGCAGAAUUCAGUGAAUCAUCGAAUCUUUGAACGCACAUUGCGCCCCUUGGUAUUCCGAGGGGCAUGCCUGUUCGAGCGUCAUUGCAACCCUCAAGCAUUGCUUGGUAUUGGAUGCCACUGCUGUGGUGCAUCUCAAAAGUAUUGGCGGUGGCAUUCAGCUUCUAGCGUAGUAAAUCUUCUCGCCUUGGAGUUUGAGUGUCUAACUGCCAGAACCCCUAAAUUUAUCAAAGGUUGACCUCGGAUCAGGUAGGGAUACCCGCUGAACUUAAGCAUAUCAAUAAGCGGAGGA